GGUUGGUCAUGGAGCUGAGGGUAUCUUGCUGGUGAUUCCUACCUACCUGAGGACUUCUAAGGACUUCUACUCCCGGACCUGUUCCUGUGACCCCCACCUCAUGCCCCAGAUGGGUGAUGUCUGAAGGGCUUUGACCAUACAGCUUCUGGAAAUGGCUCUUGAAUCUCCUGCAGUAGGUCCUUGAUUGGGCCCAGCUGAUUGGGAAGAGUCUUUAAAGCAAAACACAGCCGUGAUCUGGAGGAAGAACUGUGUAAUAAACCUGUGUCCUUGCACCCAGCCUGGCAGGACCUUCCCCGGAGGACACAGUCCCAGUAAUUCCCCAGCAGCGCUGCCUCCAGGAGUGAUUGCUAUUUACACCACAAUUUGUUAGAUCUUCUAGAGGAAUACCAGAUAGAUCCAGGGAUGAAUUUGGUUUGGGAAUUUAAGAUGCGUUGGAUCUAGUUUGCUGAAGUAGUUUUUGUGAGUAAUCUAUUUUAAUUAAAGAAAGCAAACAAAAAUGUGGAAAACAAAUGUUAACGGGAGUUGUUUCCUUUCCAGUGGAGCCUGAAUUCCAAAGCUUCAGCAAAGUCUGCUUCCAUAUGGUGCCUCAGGGCAUACAAACACAUCAAUAUGGGAAGAUAAAACCUCCUGACAUUACAAAGCUGGUUGGUCAGAAGGCAUGCUGACUGAUUGCUGAUGCUGGGCCCUGAUGCUCUGUGGGGCACAAAUGCUUGGACUGUAGAGGCACCUGUGUACACUGAUGCCCUGUCUGUGUCAGAAUUGCACCCCAGCAUGGUCAUUCAGGAAGAUGGGCUGACAGAGCCCGAUGGCAGACAUAGUAAGCCUUUGUCUAGUGAGGAUCUCAGGGCUGGUGAAAGCACAUGAGAGAAAAGCAAAUCACAUCAACCAUGAUUUAUCUUCUCUGGGUUUGCAGCACUGAAAGGAGAUGUGGGGUGUAGGUAGGUUUCUCCAGCUUGUCUCCACAAAUGCUAUUGUACUCCUCAAGUAAUGGCCUGGUUUCCUGUGCAAACUGAUGUGCCUGCUAUUUGGUGACUUGUGUUGUGCCUUUCUGCCAAUACCAUGUUUAUUUUGUGUCAGCAGAAUAAACUUCUUGGACUGCUUUCUUAGGGACAUGGGGAACUGUUAGCCUGAAAACCAAGGAAGAAAUAACACGGAGUGCUCAGCUGCCAUAACAGCGAGACACCAAGGAAGACCUGGAUCCCUGGCCUGUCUUCAAAGCCCACCAGCACUGCCUUGCCUUCAAUCUUGUACAGCAGAGCAUGCAAUUGCCAAGGGCCCCAGUUGCUUCUAGAAGCAUACUUGAUUUUUAUAGAGGUGCAUGUAUCCUUGACCUCCAGCUAGCAUUUCCUGCUGCCCUGUGUGAUGUUGACUUACGCUGAUUGCAACAAUGCCCUCAUACUGAGUCUCUGUUUCCAACAGCCGAGCCAUCAGGAUACGUAUGAUCGUAGAUGACACCGACCAAGGCUCUGAUGGCUUUUGGAUCCCAGAUCACACUGCGAAACAUCCAGCUGCUGAGAAACAUUCCCUAGAGAAGACUAUUUCUCUGCAUUAACGAGAGAGGAAAGACUUAUCGGACAGACACCUUGAAUGCCCUUCGUACUGCCUCUUACUCCUAAGAAUCAGCUCCUUCCUGCAGACCUCUGGAAUUACACUUUUCUCCUUCACUUGCUGACUUUAUAAAGACCAAGCCAAAUUGUGAGCAUUUGUGACACUUUUUCCUCCAAUUUCUCUUUCCUAAAUAAAGCAAAUAUCCAAACUGCAUUUUGUUCUAUUUUAUUCAUAAGAUGCCUGAGGCAUGCAUUCAAGAGAGAGAAAUCCCAGAUGCACCAACUUGUUUUUCCAUGUGUUGAGUGUACACCUACAGCCUACCUUUAGCAAAAUUUCAUAAUGUCAUUUGAUAAAUGCAUGUAUAUGUGAGAAAUUGCAACAGUGUUAAAAAGAACUGAAAUAUUUUUUCAUUUACCUGACGCAAAGCAUGCCUUUUUAUCAAAGCAACUCUCUCAAGCAUCAUCAACACUUAGUUUAGAAUAUAUUUAGCCACAUACAGUAAAAGAAACAGCUGAGAGAUACUAGGGAAGCCUAUGGUAGAAAAACAAGUGGAUG
rnacentral:lncRNA from 1 species